rnacentral:rRNA from 1 species
AUACGGAGGGUGCAAGCGUUAUUCGGAAUCACUGGGCGUAAAGGACGCGUAGGCGGGUUGGCAAGUCAGAUGUGAAAUCCUACAGCUUAACUGUAGAACUGCAUUUGAAACUGCUAACCUAGAGUAUGGGAGGGGGAGAUGGAAUUAGUGGUGUAGGGGUAAAAUCCGUAGAUAUCACUAGGAAUACCGAAAGCGGAGGCGAUCUCCUGGAACAUAACUGACACUAAGGCGUGAAAGCGUGGGGAGCAAACAGGAUUAGAAACCCCAGUAGUCC